CAGCGAGGAAGAGGACGCGCGCGCAUGGUAAGGUCCCGGUCGCAAAUCUUCAUUUCUUCUGCGACCCGCGCGGGACGCUGACGGUGACGUCACUCACAGCCGCCGCCAGGGAGAAGGAGCAAGGCAUGGGCCGGGAGGAGGAUGAGGAUCUGCUGACAAUGUGAGGAGCCUAUGAUGUCCGGGUGUCAGACUCUGCAGAGAAGAUGGUGCUGGAAGAAGUCCUGGCGUCUGGACCAGAUAAAGAAGGAAAGGAAAGACAACAGAGAAGACAUCACUCAGGUCACUGAUAUAAUUGUGUGUUCUCCUGACUGUCCCAUCAGCUCUUACAGUCACUUGUAAGUUUCGUAGUGAUGAUGGGUGACAAUUUACCCC